CAGACGAUGACUUCAGGGAUCAUGUCUGUAGCUCAUUACUAGAGAAAUUUGAGUGUGUAGAGCACAGGAAACCAUGAGGAGGUGGCUCGGCAUUCUCCCUGAGUGUGAAGCUGGCUCUUGGUGUUACUUCUUCAGGAAUGUCAUUGGCCAUUAUGGUUGCCCUUUGUAGGGGUAAGAGGAGGGGACACAGUUUGGC
ensembl:snoRNA U3 Small nucleolar RNA U3